AAGCCUCUGUGCAGUGUGGGUGUACGUGCCUUGCUCCAAAAAGGAAAAGAAAAUUAAAGAAAGUGAGAAAAAAGAAAGAGAGAAAGAAAGAAAAAGAAAAAGAAACUAUUUAUUUAUUUGUUUAUUUAUUUAAUUAGUGAAAAUCUUAAGAAAUUUGAAAAUAAAGCUGUGUGAGAAAACGGGCGAGCGAGACAAAAAGUAAACAAAGCACCAAAGAAAACGGAAACAUUUCAAGGCAGACUAUACCAAAGAUGAAGAAACGCAGAAAAAACGGAAUUGACUCAUGAAUAAAUGGUGUACGGUCUGCACUGACGUUAUAGACAAAUAGAACAACGUUUAAUCUAUUAUGUCAUGCAGUGAGAGGAGAGAGAGAGCGAGGGAGAGAGAAGAAAUUGAGAAAAGAACAGGCAGAAUGGUGCAGCCACGCUUGUGUGGGAGGUUAAGCCCCGAUCCCUACCCCGGCAGCCAAUCAGGGCAGGGCAGGGUGAUUUCUUAGCCAAUCAGGUGCGAGAUGGAUCGUGACGUCACAAGAUGGGCGUUCCUUUAGUUUCUCUCGUUUACACGGAACAAAUGUUUCAUUUGUGUUUUUAUUUUUUACGUGUGUGAAUUAGUGAAGGAAAAUAAUUAUUAGUGAAAAAAAUAAUUAUAUAUUGAAGUAAUUGUUUUUUUAAGUAAUGAAGUGAAGAAAAAUUUAAAGAAAGUGAAAAAAAAAUUAAAUAUUGUGCAGUUGAAAAAUAAAUGUGAAUUAUUAAAUAUGUA